CUCCCGCAACGAAUAAUGUACCGCAAGUUUAGCAAUGCGCUUCAGUCUGGUGGAGAAGGGCAGAGUAAAAUGUCACCGCUUGGAACUGUACACUGGGUUAUUGGCUUUUUUAUUUUUGGAGUCUUUGACAAAGCUCUAGCAGCAGUGAUCCAAACACAGCAGACUGUGCUGGCAGCAGUGGGAGAAGAUGCUGAAUUCAGCUGUCAGCUCUUGGAGACUAAAGACGUCCUUCAGGUCACAUGGCAGAAAGUCACUACUGGGAAGAAGAAUGUUGCCACCUACAGCAACUACUAUGGUCAGAGAGUGAAUGAUGGCUUUACAGAUAAAUUUAAGUUUAAAUAUACUGGACUACAGAACUGCUCCAUAGUCAUCAGGAAUGUGAAUGGAGCAGGAUGAAGGAUGCUAUCACUGUCUGUUUAACACUUAUCCUGAAGGAGCUCUGACAGGUAGACCCUGCCUCCAAGUCUAUGAGCUGCAUGAACCUGUUGUUGAUGUCAGAGAGUCAAACUCUACUGAAGAGUGGGUUGUUUCCUGUUCAGCCACUGGUCGACCUGCUCCCACUGUAACACUCAGUGUCUCACAACAAGACCUCAACUUCUCACAGUACAACACUGUCAGUGUGUCCAACACCAACGCUACAUUCACUGUCACCACUACAGCUGUGCUCUCAGGUUCACGUAACAACAGCACACAGGUGGGAUGUGCAGCACGAGUGCUCUCUGCUCCUCACAGAGAGGUGAUGGUGACGAUUCCUCAUGAUGAUGGUGAUGAUGAUGAUGGUUUGGAUAAGAAGCCAGGAUUUAACCACAGACAUUUAGGAAUCAGGAUUUCAGUCAUUCUGUCCUGUGUGUUGUUGCUGGUCUGUGUUGCUGUUCUCAUCUUUGUCAAGUAUAGAAAGAGCAGAGCAGAGAGCUCGCGAUGAAUGGUACCUGAAACUAGAAACACUGAGGAGUAAGUCACUCUUCAUCCCGUCAAUCUGCGCUCAGAAAGUUGCUGAUUUCUUUUUCAUUCUCUGACAUGUGACACACGGUAUUUUCUAAAUUACCUCUACAGCUUCUUUUUGUUCUUCUACUUCCUGUCAAAUCUGAGGUGAACUGCACAUGUCAGCCUUACUCUGAUACAUAUCACGUUGUAGUGUAUAAACUAUUAAUCUGUACAGAAUACUUUGUGCAAUAUAAACAGAGUUUUUCUACUGUGUGUUGUUUUGUUUAGCGUUUCUUUAUGUUAACAAGGUGACGAUCAGCUCUAAAAGCAGACUCUAACCACAGAAUGAUUCAAGGCUUUCAACGUCACCAUGACAAAUGUUCUUUGUUUGUUUGUUUGUUUGUUUUUCCUACUUUAAAAAAAGCUGCUAAAAUUUGGCAAACAGAUAACUGUUACACUGAAGCAUUCAGAACACAAUAAUUGGUAUUUAUGUAAAUUACAAUUUUAUGCCACAACUUUGUCCUAUUUGUUUGUUUUUUUUAAUUAUUUCUUUGACAUCCAGUUUAUUACAAAUCAUGUUUUGUUGACUCGUUUUUCAGCUGCUCUGUUAAUAAGUUACAAUAAUAAUAAGGACUGUGAAGAUGAGCAGGAGUUACUAACAUAAAACUUUUUCUCUUUUUCUCAUCAAUAACUUUGAUUGAUUGAUUAAACUGCUCUUUUUGAUGAAAUUAAUACUAAUGCUAAUAAACACAAUGAAAACUCCCUACGAUGCCUAUGCUGACACAUUUACAGCUCAAUAAAUCAUCAUUGUACAAGGGAAAAAAAUCCAUACAACUUUAGAGCUUUUAGUUACUCAAUCCAGGAAUAUUUGUCAAUCUAGUAAGUGUAAAGGUAUUGGUGGUGUAAUAUGUUAUUGUUUUUGAAUCAGCAGACAUUGCACUGUUUAUCAAAACUGUUUUUUUUUAAUGCGACAUUUUAAGUUUCUGCUUCUUCCCAAAUCAACCUUGCUGAAAGAAAGGCUCCAUAUUUUCUUAUUCUGCCUCCAUGUACUCUUUCAGGUAUGUUGAUGUAUGAGUUACCUUUUGUACAAAAUGAAAAAGAAAACACACUGUACUCUGU